CCCUUAGAUGUUCUGGGCUGCACGCGUGCUACACUGAUUAUUUCAACAAGUGUUUUAACUGGAGAGUUCGCGUAAUCCUGAAAUGUUAUCGUGAUGGGAGUAGAGUAUUGUAUUUGUUAACCUUUAACGAGGAAUUCCUAGCAAGUGUAGGUUUAUAAGUUGUUCUGAUUACGUCCCUGCCCUUUGUACACACCGCCCGUCGCUCCUACCGAUUGAUUGAUCCGGUGAAUUACAUAGAAUUUUGCGUUUUACAUGACGGAAGACGAAGUGUUUUAAACCUUAUCAUUUAGAGGAAGGAGAAGUCGUAACA
rnacentral:rRNA from 1 species